UUGACGAAACUGGCAGUGUUCAGCGUUCGCGAUCGGGCUUCGGCUCGUGGUCGGGCGUGCAUUCAUUGUCGGUACGUGCUGGGACGUUUGGCGUGCUCUUCUGAAGGCUUCAGAGUUGCCCAAGUUCGCUUGGUAGUAUUCUGUUGUCGGAAGUUGAUAUGCGUGCUAAUCGUAAAGUUGGCCAGGCCUCUGCGCGGUCAGUUGCUGGGUAGUGCUUCGCUUGGUAGUCGGACAUGUCUGGCUGCCUCGUGCGAGUGCUGGUUAGUGGCUGCUCGCCUAUGGUUCAAUCCCGGUAUGUGAAAGUCGACCACCUAUCCGACCCGUCUUGAAACACGGACCAAGAAGUCUAGUAUGUACGCGAGUCAUUGGGUAUCAAAACCUAUUGGCGCAAUAAAUGUGAAGGGCGGCUCGUUCGUCUGAUAUGUGAU
rnacentral:rRNA from 1 species